rnacentral:rRNA from 1 species
AAUGGAGGCAACUCUGAUCCAGCCAUGCCGCGUGCAGGAAGACUGCCUAUGGGUUGUAAACUGCUUUUAUAUGGGAAGAACCCACUUACGUGUAAGUGGCUGACGGUACCAUAAGAAUAAGCAUCGGCUAACUCCGUGCCAGCAGCCGCGGUAAUACGGAGGAUGCAAGCGUUAUCCGGAAUCAUUGGGUUUAAAGGGUCCGUAGGUGGAUUAAUAAGUCAGAGGUGAAAUCCUGCAGCUCAACUGUAGAAUUGCCUUUGAUACUGUUGAUCUUGAGUCAUUAUGAAGUGGUUAGAAUGUGUAGUGUAGCGGUGAAAUGCAUAGAUAUUACACAGAAUACCGAUUGCGAAGGCAGAUCACUAAUAAUGUACUGACACUGAGGGACGAAAGCGUGGGGAGCGAACUGGAUU